AGGGUUUGCUUCUUUUUAUUCAACUCCAGUAUGAAAAACUGAUCAAUUAAUUAAUUCCUUCAUUAAUUCAGUAUUUGAAAUACCAUGUAAUUUAUACUAAAUUAAAUUCAUAUUUCUGGUCUUUACCAUUGAUGGCCUCACAAUCUAAUCAUAUGUCAACAUUACAGGAGUGUGCAUUAAAAUAGUCCACAUUCACAAGACUCCUCCACUGAUUCAUUCUUGAUACUAUAACUGUUAUAAUAGUUUGUCACGUGAAACUAUAUCACUCUCUAAGCAUACUGUUAUGAAAGGUCUGGAUGGACACUAUACCACUCAGGACAUGGGGUUUCAUGGUCAAACAAGUCUUCACCACAUGUCUUCACAGGUAGUGGUUAAGGACUGUUUCAUAUUUCUCCUGUUUGCCUGAUGUGACUUUGGGCUCCCCAUUUUGCUUGACAAAGUCCUGAGAAUAAACAACAAAAACUCCCAUUAACAUUAACUGCCAUUAACAUGUAACAGUGUUGUUACAAACACAUGAGUGCUGUAGAGAUGGUACUAUGUUGUUAUUCCACUAGUGACCUCACCUCCAGCUCCUCCAAUGAGGUGCUGCCAUCCUCUACUUUCUGACCAAUACCAUGGCUGAAGCUCAUGUAGCGCUCCUGUCAGAAGACAGCGAUGUUGUGUGGAAAAGCUUAUAUAGUUUGAGCUUAGCUAGCUAAUACAUAAGCAUUCUUUAGCACAGAUAGUACAUUUUGUCUCCUUGCAAUGCCAACAUACCUGGUAAAAUAAGGUUAAGUGCAUGAAUGAAUGAAUGAAUAUAUUCAUUUAUAUAUUGUCUUAGUACCUUGACCAUCCCAGUGAUUAAGUGAUUACGUGAACGAAUGAAAAUUAUGCCUCAUUACUUUGACCAUGCUGGUGAUAACUCCUUCCUCUAUGAUCCUGACUGCGUUCCUCAGGCCGCGUGCGAAGGCGUCCAUGGCUCCAAUGUGGGCUAUGAACAGGUCCUCCAGGUCCGUGGACUCCCUACGCACCUUAGCAUCGAAGUUCAGACCCCCCGGCUGCAGACCACCCUGCUCUAUCACAGUCUGGGGAGGAUAAAACAAUGCAUUUUCUUAUGUUCUUUCUGCUGACGUUCUGAUAGGUAUCAUAAUGAAAUAACUGUUUAUUAGUAAUUGUGUGUGUGUGUGCCAUUAUCUCCUAUGUCACCUUCAUUAUCAUGGUGGUGUUCCUGAUGUCCAUGGGGAACUGGUCUGUGUCCCAGCCCAGGUCAGGAGAACCUGUGUUGGAGUCCACAGAGCCCAGCAUGCCAAACCUACACACCAGAACAACAGGCUUAUUAGCUUAACUGGACUGGAACAUCCAGAUUACCAGGAAUGACGUCAACUACCCAGUCCAAAAAAUACCACUAACCCCUACCCCCUAUGCACUUCUGAAAGGUGUAAGAAAUAUGGUGAAAAUUAUACCUCCCCUAUCAUUACAUCUACCCUAUCAGAGGGCAAGGUGGAGCAUUAACAUAUUGAUUCGACCUAUCCAAUCUCUUCAGACCUACACAAGUCCAUCAAGGUAGAGAGCAGGGGAUAGGGGGUCGGUUUGGGAAACGUGAAAGUCAACAUGGCGACUUACACGGAGGCCAUGAUGACGUCGUGUUCGUAGGAAUGCCCAGCUAGAGUGGUGUGGUUGGGUUCGAUGUUCAGCUUGAAGUGGCUGUCCAGUUCAUAAUGCUUCAGGAAGCCUAUGACACUCAUUGCAUCUAUAAAAAGGUGAAACAGCAACAUGUACAAAGAGAUGUAACAUGGAAAUGAAAGGCGUCAGAGAUUUUCUAGCAUCUAAUUUUUAGAUGUGGUUAGUAAUGCAGAUAAACUAACUCUUGAGGGCCUCCAUAGUUCAACAGUAACCACAUAGUAUAUCCUUACAAUGUGUACAUUAUGUUAAUGUUGUGUUAUACACCUAAAAGCCUUACCAUAGUCGUAUUGAUGUUUGCAUGGCUCUUUGGGCUUGGGUUCAAUGAGGAACUGGCACUUCAACCCUAUCUUCUCCUUGUACUCUGAUAUACAAAAACACAAUCAGGUUAUCAUCUGAAAAUGGUAGGUGACAGUUAAAAGUUGGUACAGUAUUAUGGUAACAAUGUAUUACACACACAGCAGUGCUAGCUACUUACUGACAGCCAUUUUGAAAAAGUUUGCCAUAUGUUUCAGUUCAGCGCCAACAUCAGUGUUGUGUAUCGAGUAAAAACCCUCCCUGCCGCCCCAGAAGACUGCACAAGGAGACAAAAAUACAUGCAUAGGUUAGGUGGUGGCAAAGAC
rnacentral:lncRNA from 1 species